rnacentral:rRNA from 1 species
GUGUCAGCAGCCGCGGUAAUACGGAGGGUGCAAGCGUUGUCCGGAUUUAUUGGGUUUAAAGGGUGCGUAGGUGGCCCCUUAAGUCCGUGGUGAAAGCCUGCCGCUUAACGGCAGAACUGCCAUGGAUACUGAGGGGCUUGAGUCCAGACGAGGUUGGCGGAAUGGAUGGUGUAGCGGUGAAAUGCAUAGAUACCAUCAAGAACACCGAUUGCGUAGGCAGCUUACUAGGCUGUAACUGACGCUGAGGCACGAAAGCGUGGGGAGCGAACAGGAUUAGAAACCCGCGUAGUCC